CUUUUAUCGGCUACAGGAGGAUUUUCUGACAGAAGCUGGUGAUGUUUUCUGGCAGAAGUUAAAUCCAACGAACCUAAGAAAACAAGGAACUCAGUGGUGCCUCUCCCAUGGACCAAACCCGACUGGAAAGUCUCGGGCGCCCUGUUAGUCUCCCUCCGAGUCUGUUCACGCACCGGGGCAAGAAAUGCGAAAGGAAUCACGGCCAGAGCGAAGACGCCGCCGCGGGAACGGGACUCACAAAGCGCUCCCCCGACACCGGGGCUGCCGCCGGGCACCCCGACCGACGCGGAGGCGGGCGCAGGGCUGGGCGCGACCCCGCCGGGCAGGCGGCGUCCAAACCCCGCCCGUCAACGGUCGCCCUCCGCGGACGCUUCCUCCGGGCGGGCGCAGACGCAGCUCCGGACGCCCCGACGCCGUCCACGGAGGCCGGCCCCCACGCCGCGCCCUCGGCUCGCACGGCCACGGCUUCGGUUGCCCGCCGGUCAACACCCUCGGCCCCCGCAGCCCGCCCUCGAGACUCAGCGCGCAGGCGCGGAAAGCUCCGGGGUUUUGUGUUUUGUUUUUUUUCCAAACGGAAGUGAACGCUCGGGCGCAUCCUGGUGCUCUUCCUCUCCUACCCGGGUGGGAACAAAUCCCCCCAACGUUAAAGAGACGUCAAAGAGAUGUGACUUUAUUUAUUUUUUUAUUUCAAAGGCAGCCUCUCGCGUUUGUUUUUGUUCCUCGAGGGCCGGAGGACUCUCCAUCAGCCCAUGCGCACCGUCUUCGUUUAUCAAGGGUGAGCGACGCCGUAGUAACUGUAGACCGUUAGAGACCUAGGGGCUGUAACGAAUCUGGGUCCAAGGGUCCACGCUCACCUUGCCUUCCACCGCCCCCACGUGUUCUCGGCUGUCCCGCGGCGCGGCGCCCUCCUUCCACCUUCCCCUCCGAUCUCGGACUCUCCGCGCCCCGCAGCCCCUCGGCCCCGGGGCCGUCGUCGGAUGCCAGAG